UACCACAACGCUGUUCUCCAAAGUUUACCCUCCCUUUUUACUGGGAACUCACCAUACGCAGCGCCUAAGUGGACUGAGGGUUACAAAACUAGUUUUUAUCAACUUUAUAAUGCUUCUUUUUCAAAGAAAGCGUCAGAUGCUCGCUGUGCUGGCUUUUAAUGACACUUGGUCGGGGUUUUAAACAGAAAAAAAAAGAAGCUUUUAUCCUUUCUUUAAUUCUGCAGCAUAGUUGUAGUUCACUUCGCACAGUUCUGCAGAAAAAUAGCUUUUACCUCCCGCUGAUCUCCUCGUGUUGCUCCACUGGAGCAGUGGGAGGUUAAGUGACUUGCUCAAGGGCACUCAGGGAAAUAGCUGUUAAGGCACAGAGGAACAUUACUCAUUCAUAUCCCCACACGGUUUGUUGGCUACAGAGCACGUCUGGAUUUUUCAGAUGACGGAUGGCGCUACAGGAGCGAGUCUCAGUGUUCCUUUUUGGGGGAACGGAGGAGAGAUAUUAAUUUGAUUUCAUAUUGAUUUUCUGCUGCUACACCGCUGGAAUAACGAACGUGAUCAUUCACUGGGAAAAUAUUACCCACUGUUCCCCGGGAAGAGGCCGCGGCUAUCAGAGGAGGAACCGCUGCACCACAGACACUGCACAUUACCUGAUUACAUUAAACAGGGAGGAAAAUUUGCCGAUGAGAGAAAACGUGUUCCUCGCUGGGCGGAACAUCACAAACUGGAGAAUUUUCCUCACGAGGAGACGGGAGGACUAAUGGAUUCUUUAUACCUGAGAUAAUUCAUCACACACGUCCGGGCAGAUAUGGAAACAGGCAGCUGCUAAAGGACACUCCUGGGAACCUUUUUGUACAAGCAUCUCAGGCACCAGCCCAACAUAAAAAGAGAAGCAGAAAACUGUUUCAAGAGGAUGACGUCCACUGAUCUUCGCUGGAAGUUAAGACUGCAGGAGCAGACCGGAAAGAGGAGGCAGCAGACUUUUAGGAAAUGGACGGGUUCUCCUCCCUGGAGAGAGCGUAAGCAUGCUGCUGCAGAGCUGAACUAUUAAAGGUCAUAGCUACAACUUUUUCAUCUAACAAUACAUUUUUUGAAAACAAUACAUCCACAAAAUGUUGAGAAUGUUGCAGGAUAUAAGCAUUAAUUUUAUUGAAAAAUAAAUUUACAGUAUAUAGCUAAUUCUUUUUAUACAUUUUGACGGGCCCAAUAUAUAUAU